UAGCAAUAUGUGGCAUACGGCUCAGUAACACGUAGUCAACAUGCCCAGGGGACGUGGAUAACCUCGGGAAACUGAGGAUAAACCGCGAUAGGUCAUCACUUCUGGAAUGGGUAAUGACUUAAAUCUAUAUGGCCCCUGGAUUGGACUGCGGCCGAUCAGGCUGUUGGUGAGGUAAUGGCCCACCAAACCUGUAACCGGUACGGGCUCUGAGAGGAGGAGCCCGGAGAUGGGCACUGAGACAAGGGCCCAGGCCCUAUGGGGCGCAGCAGGCGCGAAACCUCUGCAAUAGGCGAAAGCUUGACAGGGUUACUCUGAGUGAUUUCCGUUAAGGAGAUCUUUUGGCACCUCUAAAAAUGGUGCAGAAUAAGGGGUGGGCAAGUCUGGUGUCAGCCGCCGCGGUAAUACCAGCACCCCGAGUGGUCGGGACGUUUAUUGGGCCUAAAGCAUCCGUAGCCGGUUCUACAAGUCUUCCGUUAAAUCCACCUGCUUAACAGAUGGGCUGCGGAAGAUACUAUAGAGCUAGGAGGCGGGAGAGGCAAGCGGUACUCGAUGGGUAGGGGUAAAAUCCGUUGAUCCAUUGAAGACCACCAGUGGCGAAGGCGGCUUGCCAGAACGCGCUCGACGGUGAGGGAUGAAAGCUGGGGGAGCAAACCGGAUUAGAUACCCGGGUAGUCCCAGCUGUAAAC
rnacentral:rRNA from 1 species